GAACCUGUGUUUGCUGCUGUUCUUUUUGAAACCUCGUGCCCUCGACGUUGCGUUAAAUAUAUUUCGUUAAGUUCUCAAGAUCCGAGACCACUCGAGUAUUGCUUUCAUAUUGCAGUAUUUACAACUCCGAAGGGAAAGUUUACGUAAACUGCGCAGCGAUGGAAAGGAGGAUAGGACAACAACGGAGUGCUGUUUGCAUGCAUGCACAACUUUUUUCAAGGGGCUCGGCUUUGAAACGUCCGAAAAAAAUUGGAGCAACGAUACACCGAGGAAUUUCUUUCACUCGUUCGCCACCGAUAAACAAAAUAGGCUCUCCUUUGAUACGAUACGCAAAGGAGAUAUUCCGGAAAAUAAUAAAAAGCAUUCCAGAACGUGAAAACAGAAUUUCUCCCGCUGGGUAAUAGGAUAUUUGAGAUAUUCAGAUAUUCGACAAUCCCUUGGUAAAUCGAAAAUGGAUUGCUCCGCGUGAAAAUUCAAUUUACGCAGGGAGGAAAUUUUGUUUCGAAAGAAAACCAUUCCAACGAGAGAAGUCGAAGGUGGAGGGAGCGGUUAAAUAGAAUUCCUUCUUAUUCGAUCGGGCGACUCCAUUUUUCUGCAAUGAUUGAAUUUUCUACCCAAUCGCACGUUUCGUUGCGAUACUGUCUCUGUUGUUUAUAAACAUCCUUGCAGGGAAAUAAAGUGGUGCAAUUCAUCCGCAAGACGUUCAACGAGGGGCAUCGAUUCAAUUUUAUAAUAAGCUGCAACGACUGAGCUCGUUCCGUUGUUAUAUACAUAGAGAAGCUUAUCUGAUUACCAGGUCAUUCGAUAAAACUUUUAAUCCUUUCUUUUCCUAUCAUUGGUUCAUUGUCACGGUUUCACCGAGUCGAGCAGAUAAAAAACAGGAGAAAAAUCUGACAAACAAAAAAAAAGUACCCUGUACUCGCGAAAUAGUUAAAAAAAAAAAAAAGAAGACUAGUUUCGAUCGUGUCAUGGUGUAACGUAUGGCUUUAUAAUGUCAGUGGGUGUAAACUAAUUUGCUUGCCAGACUGAAACCAGUUUUAAGUCUUGCAGAAAUGCUAGUUUCUCCUAUGAUAGAAUGUUAAGCUAAUCAUGUUUCCAAUGCUUACAUAAUGAGGAGCGCAACAAACUGACUCACGACGUUGAUGAUUAAUAUACACUAAUAAUAAACUAAAGUGCAUCUUGCCAAGGAAACGUUUUUAGACGCGUAUCAAUGCGAACCGUUUUUCGGGUAUACCAACUAGCACGAAAAUAAAAUCGUUUCGAAUGCAGAAUACGAAAUGCAAUACACGCGUUAAUGGAUACUGUGCAACAAUAUUAUAUCAAUAGGAUAAGUUCCACAUACAUUAUGUAUACUUUAUGUAUGUAGAAUAUAUUAUCGUACGUCAUAGAUGCAUAAAAUUCAUAGUCUAGUUAUAAUUAUGUAAGAAGCAUCACAGACAAAGAUCGAGAGUUCUAAAGAAAGGUCGUCGUCCUUUUACCAAGCAAAUGUGAUAUUACCAAACUGUAAGGAAAUAUAACUCCUAAACUAAACAUGAUAUAAAAUCGUGGUUCGAGAUAUUGUUUCUUUUUAAGAAAUUAUAUCAACCCUCCAACCUAUGACAACACAUGAGCUCGUAUAGAAUUUGCGUCGAACGUGAAAAACACGAGUUAGACACGUCGUGCGAAAGUGCUCAAGAAAUUUUAUACCCGAUUAUGACACGCACGGUCCUACAGUAAAUCGUAAGGCGAUGGGUUAAAUAAAAUCACGAUAAAAUCGGGAUGAAAAUCGUAAUCUCUCCGAGAAAAAUCUCGAGCACAAUCACUAGCCCUGAAUCACUGCUGGAAUCGAAAAAUCGGAUUGAUCGCAGUCGUUCGUCGAACCCGGAGGCAUAAUGCGCACGCGAAUCGCAGCAGCACUCUCUAUACAUAGACGAUGGUCGUGCAUCGGACACAGGGCUCCGAAACACGACUACCCUCUGAUUGGGUUCAGCUCGCACUACCGUACAAAUGAUUUUGGAGUAGAAGCAGUGGCUUUGACCACGCAUCUUUCGAACGUGACGGGUGGUUGCGUGCUCG